AUGGAAAGAGAGUAGGUAUGGGAAAAUGGAGGCGAAGCCCAGCAGCCGUAAUCCUUUAACGGGAAAGGAAUACAGCUCCCGGUACUUUACUCUUUUGAAAGGGCGCGAGCGGCUCCCUAUUUUUGCAGCCAAGUCGCGUAUUCAAAAGCUGGUGAGCCAGUAUCAGACGCUGCUUCUUGUUGGAGAGACAGGCAGUGGAAAGACAACUCAGGUUCCUCAAUACAUUUUGGAGCUCAAUCCGGAGCACGGAAUUGCCUGCACGCAGCCGCGGCGUGUCGCGGCAACAAGCGUGAGUGAGCGCGUGGCUGAAGAGAUGGAUGUGGAGCUCGGCGAGGAGGUAGGCUACUCUAUUCGUUUCGAUGACAAGAGUUCCGAGAAAACACGACUGAAAUACCUGACAGAUGGUAUGCUUCUGCGCGAGGCGAUGACGGAUCCACUGUUGAGUUGCUACAGUGUCAUUGUUCUCGAUGAAGCUCACGAGCGCACUGUAUCGACAGACAUUUUGAUCGGCACCUUGAAGGAGCUUCUUCCAAAAAGACCGGAUCUUCGCAUUGUAGUGAUGUCUGCAACCCUCGAAGAAAAGCGCUUUCAGGAGUAUUUUUCCGAGGCGCCGCUUGUCCAUAUUUCCGGCCGUAUGUAUGGUGUUGAGGUGUACAACUCAAAGGCACCUGAAGCUAACUAUGUGGAAGCGGCCAUUCGCACAGCAACGCAGAUUCAUCUAUACGAAGGCGAGGGCGACAUCCUUAUUUUUUUGACUGGCGAAGAUGAAAUCGAAACGACUGUGGAACGCCUGCAAAACGGUAUCAGGAUGGCAGAGCACAGCAGCGCCAACUGCCACCACGGGCCCGUUGCAGUCUUGCCCUUGUACUCCUCCCUACCCCCGUCGCAGCAGCGAAAGGUGUUUCAGACAGUUCCGGAGGGAACGCGCAAGAUAGUUGUGGCGACAAACGUGGCCGAAACUUCAUUGACAAUCGAAGGCGUUGUUUUUGUGAUUGACUGCGGCUUUUCGAAGCAAAAAGUUUUCAAUCCGAAGCUUCGAGUGGAAUCGCUGCUUGUAACGCCAAUCAGCCAAGCGAGUGCUCGGCAGCGCUGCGGUCGUGCUGGGCGUACGAGGCCAGGAAAAUGCUUUCGACUCUAUACGGCAAAAUCUUUUCACUCUGCUCUGCAGCCCAACACGUACCCUGAAAUUCUUCGUUGCAACCUCGGCAGUAUUGUUUUGCAUAUGAAAAAAAUGGGUAUUGAGGAUUUGGUGAACUUCGACUUUGUGGAGCCGCCGGCGCCUGAGACGCUGAUGCGCGCGUUGGAGUUGCUCAAUUACCUCGGCGCAUUGGAUGACGACGGCAAUCUGACAGAGGAGGGGAAUUUGAUGUCAGAGUUUCCGGUCGAUCCGGAAAUGGCAUCAAUGCUUUUUCACAGCCCUAAGUUUGGAUCUUCUGAGGAUAUUGCACGAAUUUGUGCUAUGCUGUCGGUGCAAAAUCCAUUCAUCACUCCCUCAAAUGAUCAGCGAGGCCGUGCAAUGCGGUGCCGCGAACAGUUCUACCAUCCAACAGGGGACCACAUUUCGUACCUGAACAUCUUUAAUGUGUUCUACGAGAUGAAGAACCAGAGCUCCUCUUGGUGCACAGAGAACUACAUCAAUCCUCGGGUUAUGAAGCAGGCGGUCAACAUUUACCGCCAACUUGUCGGAAUCUUGCGACGUCUGAGUUUGCCUAUUUGCAGCACGUACACAGCGCAGCAGCGGCGCGUGCAGGGUGAUGACGCUCCAGCGGAGUUGGAAUUCGCAAACGAGGUGCGUCGCGCCAUAGUGAAAGGGUACUUCACAAAGGUGGCGCUCUCUCUUCCGACAAAGCACCAGUUUAUGACGCUUAAAGACGAUGUUAAGUGCCUUCUUUUUCCAUCGACAUACCUGAACCGCCGCCCCAAAUUUGUGGUAUUUAACGAGCUAGUCCUCACGAGCAACACGUAUAUUAGAACGGUAACAGCUGUCUCCGAAGACUGGCUGCUCGAGUCGAGCCCUUCGUACUUCGCCCAGGAUGAGUUUGAAGGCAUUACGAAGCAAGUUUUUGAUGAGAUUUUCCGAAGGCAAGGCAAGGAGAAAGAGCGUCGUUCGAAACGAGCACGGACACCCAGUGAUGACUAGCCCCCUUCUCAAAACACAUACAAAUUCGACUCAUAAGUCUGUAAUUGUUCUCACUAAAUUGCCUGUUGCUCUUAUGUCCGUAGCGUAAC
rnacentral:misc_RNA from 1 species